rnacentral:rRNA from 1 species
AUUGAACGCUGGCGGCAUGCUUUACACAUGCAAGUCGAACGGCAGCGCGGGGCAACCUGGCGGCGAGUGGCGAACGGGUGAGUAAUACAUCGGAACGUACCCAGAAGUGGGGGAUAACGUAGCGAAAGUUACGCUAAUACCGCAUACGUUCUACGGAAGAAAGCGGGGGAUCUUCGGACCUCAUGCUUUUGGAGCGGCCGAUGUCUGAUUAGCUAGUUGGUGAGGUAAAGGCUCACCAAGGCGACGAUCAGUAGCUGGUCUGAGAGGACGACCAGCCACACUGGGACGGAGACACGGCCAAGACUCCUACGGGAGGCAGCAGUGGGGAAUUUUGGACAAUGGGCGCAAGCCUGAUCCAGCAAUGCCGCGUGAGUGAAGAAGGCCUUCGGGUUGUAAAGCUCUUUUGUCAGGGAAGAAACGGUUGGGGCUAAUAUCCCCGGCUAAUGACGGUACCUGAAGAAUAAGCACCGGCUAACUACGUGCCAGCCGCCGCCGUAACAC